rnacentral:rRNA from 1 species
UACGUAGGUCCCGAGCGUUGUCCGGAUUUAUUGGGCGUAAAGCGAGCGCAGGUGGUUUAUUAAGUCUGGUGUAAAAGGCAGUGGCUCAACCAUUGUAUGCAUUGGAAACUGGUAGACUUGAGUGCAGGAGAGGAGAGUGGAAUUCCAUGUGUAGCGGUGAAAUGCGUAGAGAUAUGGAGGAACACCAGUGGCGAAGGCGGCUUCCUGGUCUGCAACUGACACUGAGGCUCGAAAGCGUGGGGAGCAAACAGG